UACGUAGGUGGCAAGCGUUAUCCGGAUUUAUUGGGCGUAAAGCGAGCGCAGGCGGUUUUUUAAGUCUGAUGUGAAAGCCCUCGGCUUAACCGAGGAAGUGCAUCGGAAACUGGGAAACUUGAAUGCUGAAGAGGACAGUGGAACUCCAUGUGUAGCGGUGAAAUGCGUAGAUAUAUGGAAGAACACCAGUGGCGAAGGCGGCUGUCUGGUCAGUUAUUGACGCUGAGGCUCGAAAGCAUGGGUAGCGAAC
rnacentral:rRNA from 1 species